rnacentral:misc_RNA from 1 species
UAUGAAAAAGAGUACUUGUUAACAGGAACUUCCAACAUUUUAUUCACAAGAGGUAGGUAUUGUUCCCUUGAGCUUUGUGAAAUAUUUACUCAUGUUCCACAAAAUUCCCUAAAUCCAUAUGUUCUAAAACAUGCAUGGAGAAAAUUUUCAAUGCAAUUCCAGUAACUCGGAACUUUGAUGUAUAUAUGCAUCCAUUCUUUCUACACAAUAUUUUGCAAUACAUCAAAAACCUAUGUAUCCACUAUGCAAGCAGUUUCAGGCAAGGACCACUAAACUUGAAUUAAAGACUUAUACCGCUUUCAGUUUUCAAUAUGCACACCCUAUAUGUCACGACCCAACCUAUGGG